UUGGCAGCCACAAGGCAGAUAGAUAGAUGCCUGCUCCUGUGCAGGAGGGGUCGCCGUUUCUGAGGGAGGAGUUUGUUUAUAGAGGCUCUCGCUGGAUUUUAGCCUUGUUAGAUUCCGUAUAUUCCAGAGAGCAAGGACCAUUUUCUUUUGUUAACAUGCUUCCUGCCACUCACUCCGUUCUUGUGAUCUUCUUAAUCAUCGGAGGGACCAAGGAAGACUCAGUGAACCAGACAGAAGUCCCAGUGGUUCUUCCAGAGGAGGCACCUAUGACCCUGAACUGCACUUACCAGACCACUUAUUCGGACUAUCUUUUCUGGUACGUCCAGUAUCUCAACAAAGCUCCUCAACUCCUCCUGAAGGGGUCAACUGCAAACCCGAGGGCAGAGGAGCAAGGUUUCCAGGCCACUCUGGAUACGAGUAACAAGACCUUCCACCUGCAGAAACGCUCAGUGCGAACAUCAGACUCGGCUGUGUAUUACUGUGCCGUGAGUGACACAGUGAGAGGGGCUGCAGGGGGAGCUGAGCACAAACCCAGAGGGCACAGGAGGGACCAGCGGAGACUCAGUGAACCAGACAGAAGUCCCAGUGAUUCUUUCAGGAGGAGGCUACUAUGAUCCUGAACUGCACUUACCAGACCACCUAUUCAGAUUUCUAUGUUUUCUGGAUCCAUCAAGGCCCAGAACGUGACUCAAGAUCAGCCAGAAAUGUCUGUGCUGGAGAA